ensembl:snRNA U6 U6 spliceosomal RNA
UUGCUUUGGCAGCACAUAUAUUAAAAUGGGAACAAUUCACAGAAGAUUAGCAUGGCCUCUGGGUACACAGUCAUGAAGUGUUCAAUACUUUU